GACGUAGGUACCGAGCGUUAUCCGGAUUUACUGGGCGUAAAGCGCGUUCAGGCGGCUUACUAAGUCGGGCAUGAAAUCUCUCGGCUCAACCGGGAGAGGCUGUCCGAUACUGGAAGGCUUGAGGGCAGUAGAGGGUGGUGGAAUUCCGGGUGUAGUGGUGAAAUGCGUAGAGAUCCGGAGGAACACCAGUGGCGAAGGCGGCCACCUGGACUGCCCCUGACGCUGAAACGCGAAAGCUAGGGGAGCGAACGGG
rnacentral:rRNA from 1 species